rnacentral:rRNA from 1 species
AGUGAACGCUGGCGGUAGGCCUAACACAUGCAAGUCGAACGGCAGCACAGUAAGAGCUUGCUCUUACGGGUGGCGAGUGGCGGACGGGUGAGGAAUACAUCGGAAUCUACUUUUUCGUGGGGGAUAACGUAGGGAAACUUACGCUAAUACCGCAUACGACCUACGGGUGAAAGCAGGGGAUCUUCGGACCUUGCGCGAUUGAAUGAGCCGAUGUCGGAUUAGCUAGUUGGCGGGGUAAAGGCCCACCAAGGCGACGAUCCGUAGCUGGUCUGAGAGGAUGAUCAGCCACACGGGAACUGAGACACGGUCCAGACUCCUACGGGAGGCAGCAGUGGGGAAUAUUAGACAAUGGGCGGAAGCCUGAUCCAGCCAUACCGCGUGGGUGAAGGAGGCCCUCGGGUUGUAAAGCCCUUUUGUUGGGAAAGAAAAGCAGCAGGUUAAGACCCCGCUGUUCUGACGGUACCCAAAGAAUAAGCACCGGCUAACUUCGUG